UACGAAGGGGGCUAGCGUUGUUCGGAUUUACUGGGCGUACAGCGCACGUAGGCGGGUUGUUAAGUCAGGGGUGAAAUCCUGGAGCUCAACUCCAGAACUGCCUUUGAUACUGGCAACCUAGAGGCUGGAAGGGGUUAGUGGAAUUCCCAGUGUAGAGGUGAAAUUCGUAGAUAUUGGGAAGAACACCAGUGGCGAAGGCGGCUAACUGGUCCAGAUCUGACGCUGAGGUGCGAAAGCGUGGGGAGCGAACAGG
rnacentral:rRNA from 1 species